rnacentral:rRNA from 1 species
UACGGGGGGGGCAAGCGUUGUUCGGAAUUACUGGGCGUAAAGGGCUCGUAGGCGGCCAACUAAGUCGGAUGUGAAAUCCCCAGGCUUAACCUGGGAACUGCAUCCGAUACUGGAUGGCUUGAAUCCGGGAGAGGGAUGCAGAAUUCCAGGUGUAGCGGUGAAAUGCGCAGAUAUCAGGAGGAACACCGGUGGCGAAGGCGGGUCUCUGGGCCGAUACUGACACUGAGGAGCGAAAGCGUGGGGAGCGAACAGG